AGGGUGAACGCUGGCGACGUGGAUAAGGCAUGCAAGUCGAGUGGGUUUAGACCCACGGCAGACGAGGUAGUAACAUGUAGGAACGUACUCCAAAGUCAGGAAUAAUCCGGAGAAAUCCGGAACAAUACUUGAUAUCCCGCAAGGGGAAAGAUUUAUCGCUUUGGAAGCGGCCUGCAUAAUAUCAGCUAGUUGGUAAGGUAAUGGCUUACCAAGGCUAUGACGUUUAGGGGAGCUGAGAGGCUGACCCCCACCGAUGGAACUGAGAUACGGUCCUUACUCC
rnacentral:rRNA from 1 species